rnacentral:siRNA from 1 species
CAACCUCUCGAAGUAAUUCCCG